rnacentral:snRNA from 1 species
CUUAUGGCUACUGUUGCUUCUUU